GAUGAUGCCCACUUGUGGGUGGAUUAGUGGCGAACGGGUGAGUAACACGUGAGUAACCUGCCCUUGACUCUGGGAUAAGCCUGGGAAACUGGGUCUAAUACCGGAUAUGACCUUCCAUCGCAUGGUGGUUGGUGGAAAGCUUUUGUGGUUUUGGAUGGACUCGCGGCCUAUCAGCUUGUUGGUGGGGUAAUGGCCUACCAAGGCGACGACGGGUAGCCGGCCUGAGAGGGUGACCGGCCACACUGGGACUGAGACACGGCCCAGACUCCUACGGGAGGCAGCAGUGGGGAAUAUUGCACAAUGGGCGCAAGCCUGAUGCAGCGACGCCGCGUGAGGGAUGACGGCCUUCGGGUUGUAAACCUCUUUCAGUAGGGAAGAAGCCGCAAGGUGACGGUACCUGCAGAAGAAGCGCCGGCUAACUACGUGCCAGCAGCCGCGGUAAUACGUAGGGCGCAAGCGUUAUCCGGAAUUAUUGGGCGUAAAGAGCUCGUAGGCGGUUUGUCGCGUCUGCCGUGAAAGUCCGGGGCUCAACUCCGGAUCUGCGGUGGGUACGGGCAGACUAGAGUGAUGUAGGGGAGACUGGAAUUCCUGGUGUAGCGGUGAAAUGCGCAGAUAUCAGGAGGAACACCGAUGGCGAAGGCAGGUCUCUGGGCAUUAACUGACGCUGAGGAGCGAAAGCAUGGGGAGCGAACAGGAUUAGAUACCCUGGUAGUCCAUGCCGUAAACGUUGGGCACUAGGUGUGGGGGACAUUCCACGUUUUCCGCGCCGUAGCUAACGCAUUAAGUGCCCCGCCUGGGGAGUACGGCCGCAAGGCUAAAACUCAAAGGAAUUGACGGGGGCCCGCACAAGCGGCGGAGCAUGCGGAUUAAUUCGAUGCAACGCGAAGAACCUUACCAAGGCUUGACAUGAACCGGACCGCUGCAGAAAUGUGGUUUCCCCUUUGGGGCUGGUUUACAGGUGGUGCAUGGUUGUCGUCAGCUCGUGUCGUGAGAUGUUGGGUUAAGUCCCGCAACGAGCGCAACCCUCGUUCUAUGUUGCCAGCACGUGAUGGUGGGGACUCAUAGGAGACUGCCGGGGUCAACUCGGAGGAAGGUGGGGACGACGUCAAAUCAUCAUGCCCCUUAUGUCUUGGGCUUCACGCAUGCUACAAUGGCCGGUACAAAGGGUUGCGAUACUGUGAGGUGGAGCUAAUCCCAAAAAGCCGGUCUCAGUUCGGAUUGGGGUCUGCAACUCGACCCCAUGAAGUCGGAGUCGCUAGUAAUCGCAGAUCAGCAACGCUGCGGUGAAUACGUUCCCGGGCCUUGUACACACCGCCCGUCAAGUCACGAAAGUUGGUAACACCCGAAGCCGGUGGCCUAACCC
rnacentral:rRNA from 1 species